UUUACUUCUUCUUAUUAUUAUUCUUGUUCCAGACAGGGUUUCUCUCUAUAGCACUGACAUAUCCGAAAUCCACUCUAUAAACCAGGUGUCUCCAACUGAGAGAUCCAACUCUCUCUGACCAAUAACUAACGGAAUUGAUUGUAUGUAGCAUCAUAAACAGUCCACAAUGCACAGAAAUGGAGACUGCAGAAGACUUGUAAAUGGAUGCUGCAUCCUCACGGAUGAACACAUCUCAUGUGAAUGACUACCCUCUUACAAAUGUGUGCAUGAAAAGACACAAACAUACAUGUAUACAUAUACCAUACACACAACUAAUUUAAGCUUACCCUUGACUAGCUUACAAAUAAAUAAGACUCAGACUAUGGUUAUUUCCAUUGGCUUUGACAAUUACUGGGGAGGGCAGCCCUCAUUUAUUCUUCUAACUGCUAUCCUGGUGUCCUCCUUUCUUCCCGAUGGUAUACCCCAGAUACUUGCUGUUUCUCAUGGCCAUGUCUCAUCUUUGAGACAUGGCAUCUUUGUCCUCUUUCCCCAUUCUUCCUCCUUUUCCUGGUCUCUCUUCCUUCUCUCUCUCUUCUCGACCCUCUACCAGGUAACUCAAAACCCACCUACCUGUAAUUUCUCCAGUAAUUGGCUGUAGCCAAUUUGAUUUAACUAAUAGUAUUAAAUCAAGGAACAAGGUUUGCACAACAGAACCUUGUAAAUGUGAGAAGUCUGUGGUAGGCUUAGAUCUUCGGGUAUAGAAUUUAGCAUUACAUACAUAGCAACAGACCAGACCUCAACACAUAACACAUAUUGGAAAACUAGCUAUGCUGAGAAAUAAUAACUUUUGUGGCUUCUGACAAUGCCCUUCACUGCAGCAUUCAGGAGGAGGACAGACCAGUCAUGAUGCUUGCCAAUCAAGCACAGGUACACACACGUACUGCUCCUUGCCUCUAGUUUCUCUGAGUGAGCAAAUGAUCUGCAUCUCUGGAUAAACAUACUCCUGAAAAAGAAUAGGGACUCUGCACAGUCUUUGCGCUGAAACGGGUUCCUUUUGGA
rnacentral:lncRNA from 1 species